rnacentral:rRNA from 1 species
UACGGAGGGUGCAAGCGUUAUCCGGAUUCACUGGGUUUAAAGGGUGCGUAGGCGGCGCGGUAAGUCGGGUGUGAAAUCUCGGAGCUUAACUCCGAAACUGCAUUCGAUACUACCGUGCUUGAGGACUGGAGAGGAGACUGGAAUUUACGGUGUAGCGGUGAAAUGCGUAGAUAUCGUAAGGAAGACCAGUGGCGAAGGCGGCAUCCUGGACCACGACUGACGCUGAGUGAGCGAAAGCCAGGGGAGCAAACGGG